rnacentral:rRNA from 1 species
CACGUAGGGGGCAAGCGUUGUCCGGAAUCAUUGGGCGGAAAGAGCUCGUAGGCGGCUCAGUAAGUCGGGUGUGAAACCUCCAGGCUCAACCUGGAGACGCCACCCGAUACUGCUGUGGCUAGAGUCCAGUAGGGGAGUGUGGAAUUCCCGGUGUAGCGGUGAAAUGCGCAGAUAUCGGGAGGAACACCAGCGGCGAAGGCGGCACUCUGGGCUGGUACUGACGCUGAGGAGCGAAAGCGUGGGUAGCAAACAGG